GAUGAACGCUAGCGGCAGGCUUAAUACAUGCAAGUUGAGGGGCAGCAUGAUAUACGCGAGUAUAUUGAUGGCGACCGGCGGACGGGUGAGUAAUAGGUAGGAGACCUACCUCAUACAGGGGGAUAGCAUAGAGAAAUCUGUGGUAAUACCCCAUGAGGUUAUAUGAAUAGAGGCAUAUAAUCAAAGCAUAAGCGAUUAUGCGGUAUGAGAGGGGCCUACUGACCAUUAGCUAGUUGGUGAGGUAAGGGCUCACCAAGGCGAAGAUGGUUAGGGGUUUUGAGAGAGAGACCCCCCACAUUGGAACUGAGAGACGGUCCAGACUCCUACGGGAGGCAGCAGUAGGGAAUAUUGGGCAAUGGGCGAAAGCCUGGCCCAGCCAUGCCGCGUGAAGGAAGACGGCCUUAUGGGUUGUAAACUUCUUUACUACGCGAAUAGAGGUUAGUACGAGAUACUAAUAGGAAGGUAGUGUAGUAAAAGCACCGGCUAACUCCGU
rnacentral:rRNA from 1 species